CCUACGGGAGGCAGCAGUGGGGAAUUUUCCGCAAUGGGCGAAAGCCUGACGGAGCAACGCCGCGUGGGUGAUGAAGUAUUUCGGUACGUAAAACCCUUUCAGCAGGGACGAACACAAUGACGGUACCUGCAGAAGAAGCAUCGGCUAACUACGUGCCAGCAGCCGCGGUAAUACGUAGGAUGCAAGCGUUGUCCGGAUUUAUUGGGCGUAAAGCGAACGUAGGCGGUUUCUUAAGUUUGGUCUUAAAGACUGGGGCUCAACCCCAGGAAUGGACUGAAUACUGGGAGACUAGAGGAUGUUAGAGGAAAGUGGAAUUCCAAGUGUAGCGGUGAAAUGCGUAGAUAUUUGGAGGAACACCAGUGGCGAAAGCGGCUUUCUGGGACAUUCCUGACGCUGAGGUUCGAAAGCUCGGGGAGCAAACAGGAUUAGAUACCCUGGUAGUCCGAGCCGUAAACGAUGGACACUAGGUGUCGGGGGUAUCGACCCCCCGGUGCCGUAGCUAACGCGUUAAGUGUCCCGCCUGGGGAGGUACGGUCGCGAGACGUAGAACUACAAUAGAAGUUAGACGGCGUGAGACGUGCCGACGACGACGACGAGGGAGAGG
rnacentral:rRNA from 1 species